GUCGUCGUGGCGGAAUGGCAUACGUAGCAGGCUGAGAUCCUGUGCCCGCGAGGGCGUGUGGGUUCGACUCCCACCGACGACACCA
rnacentral:tRNA from 1 species